UACGGAGGGGGCUAGCGUUGUUCGGAAUUACUGGGCGUAAAGCGCGCGUAGGCGGUUACUCAAGUCGGAUGUGAAAGCCCUCGGCUUAACUGAGGAAGUGCACCCGAAACUGAGUAGCUAGAGUACUAAAGAGGGUCGCGGAAUUCCCGGUGUAGAGGUGAAAUUCGUAGAUAUCGGGAGGAACACCGGUGGCGAAGGCGGCGACCUGGGUAGAUACUGACGCUGAGGCGCGAAAGCGUGGGGAGCAAACAGG
rnacentral:rRNA from 1 species